UUUAGUAAACAAACUACAGUAGCUUUCCUGUCAGACCGCCUGACAGCCACGCAGACGGCCGACUUCCUCACGCGCACGUGAUAUCACGCGCAGAUAUAAAAUAAAAUUCUCUCUCCUUCCAUUUUUCAUUUCGCGUUUCUGCGUCUUCCUCCUUUCAUCCCUCAGGUUUCUCUUUUCUCUCUCUUCCUCCUCCCACCUUAUUUUCUCCCUCUUCUAUUCCUCCUUCCAUCACAAGAGAAGCCAUACAUCAGCCGCCGUCUCCAUAGCCUCUCCACCGCCGUUAACCUCGCUGCCGCUGCCCAUCGAUCUCGUCGCCGACAUAUCUCCCCUAUCAAAUUCGUCAGUGAUCUCUCUUCCUCCUCAAGCUCAAGCUCAGCGACGAUCUCCACCGUCUUAUUAUCUGACAUUAUCAUGGGAUCUCAGGAAACAUGAAAUCAAGAGUGGAAGACUAUGGAUCAUGCUUGAAUCUCACAACUUGAAUCACCCCUGGCUCAUCUUGCUCAACCCACUCCGUUUCAAGCUCACUUGCGUUGUUAACUGAGACAUCAUCUCUAGAUGAGGUGGUUCUCAACACAGGUUCAGCUUUAAAGGGCUUGCCCACUGUGCGGAUGUUGUUGGAGUGGUAUGUGAUUACCACUUUGUAGUUGAAGAGAAAGUGUAGCUAAACGAUUGAGAUGGCUAUGGUAGUGGACCAGUGGUGUUGUCUUAGAUACAAAGGAAAUUAGCAUCGUGAAGGGUCCUGAUUUCAACUGUUGCACGGUUGCCCUAGCCCAUGUUUGUGUAAGAACCUUCUUAAAUUGUGAUCUUUUGCUCGAGGAGGAUAAGCACGUGAAAAAGAAUUGACAUUUGAUAUUCAAUCAUGGGUAGUUUUGAGUUUGUUUUUCCUUGGUUAUUAUGUUAUCUUUGCGUUCUUAUUAAAUGCAAAUAUUUAUUUUCUUGUAAACACUCUGUUGAAUGUAUCAAGUAUUUUCAAUAUCAGUAUUGGUCCUAUUUGAAUCAAGGGAGCACAAGAAACAUAGUCAAAAAAAUGCAGAUCAAUAGGUGUUGAGAAAAAUCUGUUGUUAUAUAUUGUACAUAUAUUACUCUUAUUAAAUAUAUGCCCUUUUAGUUAAGAA